UCUAUAGUUUUUUUGGAAAAACUUCAAAAACCCCCCUGUAGUUUCGCACUUUUUUAUUUGCGUACCAUAUGGUUUAAAGUGUAUCAAGUUAGUACCGUAUGGUUUCACACUUUCUCACUUUAGUACCCUGUGGUUUAAAGUGUAUCAAAUUAGUACUCUGUGGUUUUAUUUUUGUAUCAAGUUAGUACUCUGUGAUUUUAUUUUUGUCAAAUUAGUAUUCUGUGAUUUUAUUUUUCUCGUAAUGCAAUAUUAAACCACAGGGUACUAACGUGAGAAAGUGUGAAAUCACAGGGUACUAACUUGAUACACUUUAAACCACAGGGUGCUAAAGUGAGAAACUACGAAACCACAUGGUACUAACUUGACACACUUUAAACCACAUGGUACUAAAGUGAGAAAGAGUGAAACCACAAGGGGAGUAUUUGAAGUUUUUCCUAUUUUAGUUAAUUUUCUCUAUGAUCUUUUCCACAUCAUCUAUUUUGUUUGUCUAAUUCUUGCUUCGCUCUUUUGUUACUUGGGAAUUCUUUCUCCUUAAUUCUGUCAAGUAUUGCAGACUUUAUG
rnacentral:lncRNA from 1 species